GGCUGCUGAAUGAAGUCAGCUGGUCAUACCCAUUUAACGCUAACUUCUUACAUAGUUCUUGGAGCCUCUGGUAGAGAAGAGAACUAUGUAAGCACACCUGCUCUUCACACAGUGUCAAAGUAAAGCUGAGGGAGCAGUUACCAGUGUGCUGCUAUUUGAGAUCCUACGCCCUAGGGCUUCCAAAUAGCAGGCAGGCAGGAGUGAGCAUCCUGAAGUGCUCAAUCUGGAGGAAGAGCCCUAGCUGGUGCAGUCUUCCUCUGAGCAGUACUUGGAGAAGUCCUAUGUCACUGGAGAUACUCUUCGGAAUAUCUGCUGAGAGUGACUCAGUUCAAAGGCCACUCUCUGAGCACCACGUCUAAAACACACUAACUAGGGAUGGGGGUGUGACACAGUAGUAGAGCACCUGCCCAGCGUACCUGAGUUCCUGGGAUCCAUCCGCAGCACUGCUAAAGGAAAAAAAAGUAAGUGCACUAACUAGCCUUUAACUUCUAUUUCCUUAUUCUUUAACUUUUUCUGUAUAUCAUUUAUGAUUAGUUAUUAUUUACUCACUUGUUAUUGUCCAUUGC
rnacentral:lncRNA from 1 species